ACUUAUAAAACGAGAUCGUGAGACGAACACAUCCACACAACAAACCAUGGGGGAAACCACCGGUACCGUUCUUGGUGAGGUUCGUUGUGUCGCAUAUCUUCAGAAAUGAUAGAUUUGCAACCUCAAUGUUUAUAGCGCAUUUCGAAAGGGCAUAGCAUAUAAGAAGGUGAAUCCAUGGAGGGCCACCAGUGUGACGAGCAUGAUGCUAAAUAUGUCCGAAGAAGAAGAACAAAACAAAUGAAGCGUGUCUUAAAGCAGCACGAUCUGAAUAAAAAUGCAAUUUUAUGAAAUAAGGCGUUAGAUGCUCUUCGACGUUUGAUUUUAUAUGUUACUUAAUAAGUUGUUUCUUCAUUUUAUUUGAACAAUGAUUGAUGUGCGAGAAGCAAUCUUACAGAAUUUCAAUCAUCGA